GGAGGUAUUGUUGAGUGGCUUAAGGAAUUGGUUUGCUAAAUCAACAUACAAGAAAAUUGUAUCAUGGGUUCAAACCCCAUUUCCUCCG
rfam:Solanum lycopersicum cultivar Heinz 1706 chromosome 4, whole genome shotgun sequence.